rnacentral:tRNA from 1 species
GCAAUGGUGGUUCAGUGGUAGAAUUCUUGCCUUCCACACAGAAGACCCAGACUUGAUUCCUGGCCAGUGCA